rnacentral:lncRNA from 1 species
AUAUAUAUAUAUAUAUAGUGUGAGAUUUUAGCCAUUAGAUUUACUUCUUGAUUACUAAUAGCCCUUAGAUCAAACACUAUUUCACCUACCACCAUCAUCUCAACCUCAUAUAUCUCCACCCAAUGGCUAAAAACUCAAAAGCACCACCUCCAUGGUGCUUUUGAGAGUAUUCUAGCUCAACUAUAUAUAUAUAGCAGGGCUGCUGUGCUCUCAGGAGCACGGAGGCCUCCGUGCUCCUGAGCCGUUUUCGAUGAUGGGGUUUCCGAAUCGAUGAUCGGCUCCGUUAAACUUGAUCUAGCAUAUUUGAAGUUUCUAGAAAAUAAUUUUUGCGAUUUUUCGAUAUCAUUUUCCUAGCAAUCGAAAUAAUUCAAAAUCAAUAAUUUUUAACGGCUGAAAAUAAAAAUUCUAUAAAAAGUGGUGAUAUAACAUUAAAAUUUUCGAUCAGAAAUAUUGAUUUUGUUGUAGAUAGUAUAAAGAAUUUUGUAGCAAAAUUUCAUCUGAUUUGAAUACUUCUACACCGUUAAACUUGAAAACGGCAGAUAUCAACCAUUAAAAAUUAUGGAUUUAGAAUCCUUUCGAUCACUAGGUAAAUGAUAUUAAAAAAUCGCAAAAAUUAUUUUCUAGAAACUUCACAUGCGCUAGAUCAAGUCUAACGGAGCUGAUCGUCGAUUCGAAAAUUCUAUCAUCGAAAACGGCUCAGGAGCACAGAGGCCUCCGUGCUCCUGAGAGCACAACAGCCCUGCUCUAUAUAUAUAUAUAUAUAUAUAUUACGACGAGAGAGAGAGAGAGAGAGAGACAGAGAGAGAGAGGAGAGAGAGAGAGAGAGUAGGCUGCUGUGCUCUCAGGAGCACGGAGGCCUCCGUGCUCCUAGCUCGUUUUGAUGAGGGAUGUCCGAAUCGACGAUCAACUCCGUUAAACUUGAUCUAGCUUAUUUGAAGUUUCUAGAUAAUAAUUUGGCGAUUUUUUCGAUAUCAUUUACCUAGCAAUCGAAAGAUUCAAAAUCAAUAAUUUUUAACGCUGAAAAUAAAAAUCCUAAAUAAAAGUAUGAUAUGAUUAAAUUUCGAUCAAAAUAUUAAUCUUGUUGUAGAUAGUAUAAAGAAUUUUGUAUCAAAGUUUCAUCUGAUUGAAUACUUCUACACGUUACUUAAAAAACGGCAGAUAUCAACCAUUAAAAAUUAUGGAUUUUGAAUCCUUUCGAUCA